UCAGUUCAGAUUCCUAACCUGUCUCUGCUUCACUAUUUUACAUAUGCAAACCUAUUCAUUUCUACAUAAAAUCAAUAACUUUGCAUUUUAAAGCAGAAAAAAAAAUAGUUUUAGGACAUUUUAGACAACCAGCUUUAUUGUCCAGAAUAUAGUAAUCCUUGCAAUCAACACUCGUAAGGUUAAUACCCAGAAAAGAUGCUAUAUAUUAGUAAAAUACUGUCACUUCUGUAGCCACAACCAAGUAUUAUUUCAUAAUUCCCCUAGUUACUGAAUCAUGUACAUAAAGGCAGGAAAUGGAAACUAACAGGACUCAACCCACUGAUGAACCCCAACAGGUGCCUGGAUCAACCACCUUCUUCCUGAGUGACCCAAGAAGUCUCCCUAGGAUAACUACAGCCAUGAAUGAAACAUCUAGGCAGCAGCAUUCAUAUUGAAACAAAGGAGUUACUUUGAAAGGACUGGAGGCUUUGAUGGAGCUUGUGAUAGUUUUUGUCAGAUCUGUGAUGAAAACAGAAUGAAGUGCCUGUCACAUGCAAGAAGCCUAUACCUUGAGAACAGACUGUCUAAUUGUUCCCUGGAGUGUUAUCUGCACAUGAAGGAUACCUGCAAGCUUGUCUCAUCCCAGUGCAAGAGCUGGUCCACUGCAAAGUGCUGCAGAGGUGUUACUCCCACCUUUUCAUUUUUCUUCUGGAGCUCUCUGUUUCCUGUUACCAAUUCUUAUUAUCAAAAAUGUGAGUAGGAUUAGUUUAGGCAACUAAGUACAUCUGCCAAUAAAACUCCAUAGAAAAUUCAUACAAAAGGGCUAUGAGGAGGCUAAAAUUAGUUCAUUUAUAAAUAAAUGGA